rnacentral:rRNA from 1 species
GUGCCAGCAGCCGCGGUAAUACGGAGGGUGCAAGCGUUAUCCGGAUUUAUUGGGUUUAAAGGGUGCGCAGGCGGGGCCUUAAGUCAGUGGUGAAAUCUCUUCGCUUAACGAAGAAACUGCCAUUGAUACUGAGGUUCUUGAAUCUAGUUGACGUUAGUGGAAUGUGUCAUGUAGCGGUGAAAUGCUUAGAUAUGACACAGAACACCGAUCGCGAAGGCAGCUAACGAAGCUAGUAUUGACGCUCAGGCACGACAGCAUGGGGAGCAAACAGGAUUAGAUACCCCCGUAGUCC